AGAGUUUGAUCCUGGCUCAGGAUGAACGCUGGCGGCGUGCUUAACACAUGCAAGUCGAGCGAAGCGCUUUUGUAGAUUUCUUCGGAAUGAAGCGGAAGUGACUGAGCGGCGGACGGGUGAGUAACGCGUGGGUAACCUGCCUCAUACAGGGGGAUAACAGUUGGAAACGGCUGCUAAUACCGCAUAAGCGCACAGUACCGCAUGGUACGGUGUGAAAAACUCCGGUGGUAUGAGAUGGACCCGCGUCUGAUUAGGUAGUUGGUGGGGUAACGGCCUACCAAGCCGACGAUCAGUAGCCGACCUGAGAGGGUGACCGGCCACAUUGGGACUGAGACACGGCCCAAACUCCUACGGGAGGCAGCAGUGGGGAAUAUUGCACAAUGGGGGAAACCCUGAUGCAGCGACGCCGCGUGAGCGAAGAAGUAUUUCGGUAUGUAAAGCUCUAUCAGCAGGGAAGAAAAUGACGGUACCUGACUAAGAAGCCCCGGCUAACUACGUGCCAGCAGCCGCGGUAAUACGUAGGGGGCAAGCGUUAUCCGGAUUUACUGGGUGUAAAGGGAGCGUAGACGGCAUGGCAAGCCAGAUGUGAGAGCCCGGGGCUCAACCCCGGGACUGCAUUUGGAACUGUCAGGCUAGAGUGUCGGAGAGGUAAGCGGAAUUCCUAGUGUAGCGGUGAAAUGCGUAGAUAUUAGGAGGAACACCAGUGGCGAAGGCGGCUUACUGGACGAUGACUGACGUUGAGGCUCGAAAGCGUGGGGAGCAAACAAGAUUAGAUACCCUGGUAGUCCACGCCGUAAACGACCUAAAAUAGGUGUCGGGGGGCAAAACCCUUCUGGGGCCGCAGCAAACGCAAUAAGUGUUCCACCUCGGGAGUACGUACGCAAGAAUGAAACUCAAAGGAAUUGACGGGGACCCGCACAAGCGGUGGAGCAUGUGGUGUAGUUAGAAGCAACACGAAGAACCUUACCUGGUCUUGACAUCCCUCUGACCGUCCUUUAAUCGGGGCUUUCCUUCGGGACAGAGGAGACAGGUGGUGCAUGGUUGUCGUCAGCUCGUGUCGUGAGAUGUUGGGUUAAGUCCCGCAACGAGCGCAACCCCUAUCUUUAGUAGCCAGCAUUUGAGGUGGGCACUCUAGAGAGACUGCCAGGGAUAACCUGGAGGAAGGUGGGGAUGACGUCAAAUCAUCAUGCCCCUUAUGACCAGGGCUACACACGUGCUACAAUGGCGUAAACAAAGGGGAGCGAGCCCGCGAGGGGGAGCAAAUCCCAAAAAUAACGUCUCAGUUCGGAUUGUAGUCUGCAACUCGACUACAUGAAGCUGGAAUCGCUAGUAAUCGCGAAUCAGAAUGUCGCGGUGAAUACAAACCCGGGUCUUGCACUCACCGCCCGUCA
rnacentral:rRNA from 1 species